UGACUGAUUCAAAACACCUGCUCUCGGCUU
rnacentral:piRNA from 1 species